AUUUUUUGUGAUAUUUUGUACCGUCAUCAUUAUCAGUGAGAACUUGACCUUUGGGAUUCAAGAACCUUCAAAGCUGCAAAACCCAAAAAAGAAAGAAGUUGGGCCACUGGAAGCAAAGCCCAAGCCCAAUGCGCAGCCUUUGAAAGAUCCUCAGCAACGGUCAUGUCCACCUGUCAAUAAAGCCAAAACUGCAGUCAUCACACAGCUAAGAGAACGUACAGAUUCAACGAUACCUUUGAAGAACCAAUUUGAGUGUCUUGGAUCCGGUGAUGAUUGCCAAGACUGACACCUGUCAUUAUUAGGGUUUAGGCUACAUCACCUUGUAUUCAAUAUAAAAGGACUUUAUGAUGUAAUGUGAAACCUAAGUCGAAAUAUAAGAAAGAUAAGUUCUCUAUAUUUCAGAUUACGUUCAUGGUAUCAGAGCCAUGGCAAAUCAGUCCAUGGAGCUCUAUUCCUAUCCUGUUCUAAACAUCUCAAACUGUGUUACUGUUAAGCUUACUGAGAGAAAUUACCUGCUCUGGAAAACUCAGUUUGAGUCCUUCUUGUCUGGUCAGAACCUUCUCGGCUUCGUCAAUGGCGCUACCAAGAGUCCAGAUCCUGUCUCAGCUGUCACGAACAUUGAUGGUGUUGUUACAGAGAUCCCAAAUGCUGACUACAGUGCUAGGCACAGAUCUGACCAAGUGGUGAAGUCAUGGAUCUUAGGCUCUCUCUCUGAAGACAUUCUGGAAGAGGUCAUCACUGAAUCCACUGCUCAACAAGUCUGGGAAGGUCUAGCCAGGUAUUUCAAUCGUGUCUCUACUGCUCGCCUAUUUGAACUGCAAAGAAAACAGCAGACUAUGUGUAAGCAUGAUACACCUAUGAUAGAUUACAUUAAGGGAAUAAAGAACAUUUGUGAACAACUUGCCUCUGCUGGUAGUCCUGUUAAGGAACAAAUGAAAUUUUUUGCUGCUCUUAAUGGUCUUGGUCGUGAGUAUGAACCUAUUAAGACAUCCAUAGAGGGUAGUA
rnacentral:sRNA from 1 species